AACAAAGAUAGCACUGUCAGAAAUAUGUCAACGUCCUCAAAGUUGCAUCCGGCUUAGGCUGGCGCUAAAAUGCUGGCCAUAUUCAUGUCUGUAUCCGAAAGCGGAGGAUGUUUGCGAUCCUAGCUCACUUGACUCUCGAUGGAUUGCGCUACUGCAUUGCUGCCCAACAUUUCCGAGCCUUGCGAGGACGACCAGAUAGGCGUGACAUGGGUCGGCCAGUGAUAUUCACGGGUACCUAGGUAGCUUCUUGGUGCAAAACAUGAAAACCAAAUAAAUAAAUUUUACUCUGCAAACGUAGAAAACGAUCCAUGUCAAAUGGACAAAGAGACAAAGCAAUUAUCCGUGUAUUUUUGGACUCAAUAAAACAUUCACACACACGUCCCUCAAACCUUGUUGUUUCCCACAGUAAAGAAAAGAAAAGACAAACAAAAAACAGCUUGGCUUGUCAAACUGCUGAUGGUUGCAGAAAAUCCUAAUAUCUCAAGAGCCAAGAAUCCAGCACAGUGAUGUGUGAUUUGUAGAUGCAAGCUGCAGCGCGAAUUCACGGGCAAGACAUCUC
rnacentral:sRNA from 1 species